rnacentral:rRNA from 1 species
AUUGAACGCUGGCGGCAGGCCUAACACAUGCAAGUCGAGCGGAUGAAGGGAGCUUGCUCCUGGAUUCAGCGGCGGACGGGUGAGUAAUGCCUAGGAAUCUGCCUGGUAGUGGGGGAUAACGUCCGGAAACGGGCGCUAAUACCGCAUACGUCCUGAGGGAGAAAGUGGGGGAUCUUCGGACCUCACGCUAUCAGAUGAGCCUAGGUCGGAUUAGCUAGUUGGUGGGGUAAAGGCCUACCAAGGCGACGAUCCGUAACUGGUCUGAGAGGAUGAUCAGUCACACUGGAACUGAGACACGGUCCAGACUCCUACGGGAGGCAGCAGUGGGGAAUAUUGGACAAUGGGCGAAAGCCUGAACCAGCCAUGCCGCGUGUGUGAAGAAGGUCUUCGGAUUGUAAAGCACUUUAAGUUGGGAGGAAGGGCAGUAAGUUAAUACCUUGCUGUUUUGACGUUACCAACGGAAUAAGCACCGGCUAACUUCGUG